GACGUAGGGCGCGAGCGUUGUCCGGAUUUAUUGGGCGUAAAGAGCUCGUAGGCGGCUCGUUGCGUCGGCUGUGAAAACCCGCAGCUCAACUGUGGGCUUGCAGCUGAUACGGGCGGGCUGGGAUUCGGUAGGGGAGACUGGAAUUCCUGGUGUAGCGGUGAAAUGCGUAGAGAUCCGGAGGAACACCAGCGGCGAAGGCGGCAUCCUGGACUGGUCCUGACACUCAUGAGCGAAAGCGUGGGGAGCGAUCCGG
rnacentral:rRNA from 1 species